rnacentral:rRNA from 1 species
GACGGGGGCCCGCACAAGCGGUGGAGCAUGUGGUUUAAUUCGAUGAUACGCGAGGAACCUUACCUGGGCUCAAAUGUAUGUUGACGUAUUCUGAAAGGGAUACUUCUUCGGACAAUAUACAAGGUGCUGCAUGGUUGUCGUCAGCUCGUGCCGUGAGGUGUCGGGUUAAGUCCCAUAACGAGCGCAACCCCUAUCAUUAGUUGCCAUCAGGUCAAGCUGGGGACUCUAAUGAAACUGCCUACGCAAGUAGUGAGGAAGGUGGGGAUGACGUCAAAUCAGCACGGCCCUUACGGCCUGGGCUACACACGUGCUACAAUGGUCGGUACAACGGGCAGCGAAGGAGCGAUCCGGAGCGAAUCCUAAAAAGCCGGUCCCAGUUCGGAUUGCAGGCUGAAACUCGCCUACAUGAAGUUGGAGUUGCUAGUAAUCGCGAAUCAGAAUGUCGCGGUGAAUGCGUUCCCGGGUCUU